rnacentral:rRNA from 1 species
GAUGAACGCUGGCGGUGUGCCUAAUACAUGCAAGUCGAGCGAACAGAUGAGAAGCUUGCUUCUCUGAUGUUAGCGGCGGACGGGUGAGUAACACGUGGGUAACCUACCUAUAAGACUGGGAUAACUCCGGGAAACCGGGGCUAAUACCGGAUAAUAUUUUGAACCGCCUGGUUCAAUAGUGAAAGACGGUCUCGGCUGUCACUUAUAGAUGGACUCCCGCCGUAUUAGCUAGUUGGUAAGGUAAUGGCUUACCAAGGCGACGAUACGUAGUCGACCUACGAGGGUGAUCGGCCAAUCUGGAACAGGGACACGGUCCGGACUCCUACGGGAGGCAGCAGUAGUGAAUGUUCCGCAAUGGGCGAAGGCCUGACGGAGCAACGCCGCGUGAGUGAUGAAGGUCUUCGGAUCGUAAAACUCUGUUGUUGGGGAAGAACAAAUUUGUUAGUAACUGAACAAGUCUUGACGGUACCUAACCAGAAAGCCACGGCUAACUACGUGCCAGCAGCCGCCGUAA